rnacentral:rRNA from 1 species
AGUGAACGCUGGCGGUAGGCCUAACACAUGCAAGUCGAACGGCAGCACAGUAAGAGCUUGCUCUUACGGGUGGCGAGUGGCGGACGGGUGAGGAAUACAUCGGAAUCUACUUUUUCGUGGGGGAUAACGUAGGGAAACUUACGCUAAUACCGCAUACGACCUACGGGUGAAAGCAGGGGAUCUUCGGACCUUGCGCGAUUGAAUGAGCCGAUGUCGGAUUAGCUAGUUGGCGGGGUAAAGGCCCACCAAGGCGACGAUCCGUAGCUGGUCUGAGAGGAUGAUCAGCCACACUGGAACUGAGACACGGUCCAGACUCCUACGGGAGGCAGCAGUGGGGAAUAUUGGACAAUGGGCGCAAGCCUGAUCCAGCCAUACCGCGUGGGUGAAGAAGGCCCUCGGGUUGUAAAGCCCUUUUGUUGGGAAAGAAAAGCAGCAGGUUAAGACCCCGCUGUUCUGACGGUACCCAAAGAAUAAGCACCGGCUAACUUCGU